rnacentral:lncRNA from 1 species
GGAAACUAUUAUUAUUCAUGUAACCUUAAGUUUUUCCUCAUUCUAUUCACAUAGUAUUUCCCCUCUGUAUCUUCCCUCCCUCAAGACGCCUCCCUUCACAUCGUAUGUUCCCCUCUGUAUUUUCACUCCAUAUCCAGGUAAUCUGAUCCCCCUCCCCCCUUCUCUCUCUAUCUCUCUCUCUCACACACUCACCCUCUCCUUUUUAGUUGUUGAUUUUUCCCCAAAGUACUUUGAAAAUUAGGGAUUUUAUACUAUUUCAAAUCCUAGGUUUAAAAAAAUUAAUAUGAAGCGAAUCAAGUUUUCCUCUUUCUUUUCUUUCUCGAUUUAUGAUGUCUAUGUAUCUGUAGAUGCAUUUUCAGUACUGUAAAAUUUGGUAAUCUAUGACCAUGAAAGACAUAAAUUUUUUUAUAAAUUUUGUUGCCGUUGAAUAAUCUUGAGCUUGCUGUCAAUCUUGCCAAAAACGGAAACCUUCCUGGUGCUGAGAAUUUGGUAAGUUAAAAUCCUGUUUCUCAAGGCACUAUAUUUUGAAUUGAUUUCUUGAUUGGAUGGAGAUUAUAAUGUCAAAUGGUGGGAUAUUUUUAAUUUGAUAUGUUCAUUGUAUAAGGAUUAUUUCCAGCUAUAUAGUGGAAAGAGAGAAGUGGACUGCAAAAAGUGCAACGAAUAUGUUAAUACCAGAAUACUGGUCAGGGAAAAAAAAAUCUUCUACCACUUAACAGAACCAUAAGCUAAUAUCAUAGACACAUAAAGUGGCAUAACAACAGUCAUAACAUGAUGAAAAUUAUAUAAAGUUAUCAUCUUUGGCUAGUUUCUUGAAAUACCCAGAUCAAGAAAACAUACAAAGAAUACAGAAUAGUUGGGAAAUAGAAGAAAGUUGAUGAGUAGGAAGAGGGAAGAAGUAGGGUGUGAUGUGUUGGUUAAUAUAGGCAAAGUUAUGGAGGAGCAUGCGUUUUGGUUUAUGGGGUUGUGGGGAGUUUGCAGAAAGGAGCAAUAGUUUUUGGCAUUAUCAAUAGAGAUACAGAAAAUAGAGCUUUGAGAGUUGGGAGGAGGAAAAAACUUAACUGCACCGGAUAUUUACACCAUAUUAAGUUAACGUGUGCUGAAAAAAUUCUCCUAAACUUUAGUUCAGUUAGUAACCCCACUUAUGCUAUUAUUGUCUUCACAAAAAAAGUCGUUAAAACAUAAUUUGAAAAUUUCUUUUCAAGAUUAAGUUUGAUAAACUUUUCAUGAUCAGUAAUAGUGUAGUUAAGCAAAGUCAAGUGCAAUUGAUGAAGUUCUUUCGUAUGAGUUUAUUCUUUUUUAAUAUACAUGUUUGUUGUUUCACAAACUAAGCCAUUUACCUUUUGUGUGGUAAUAGCAUAUCGAAAUAAAAGGCGACACAUAUUCAUCAUUAGUAGACAACAGACAGUAUGAAAUUUUAAGAUGUUGAGUAUAUUUAUAUUAAUAUUUAUUCAAGGUUAUGUGCAAAAUAUAUGGUACUUAACUACGGUUAAGUACUAAUAAUUAUAGUUAAAUAAAGUAACAUGUGUUAUUUGUUUAUUGGUCGGGUAUAAACACUCAGUAGAGGUAAGUUUUUUCCGUUAGGAGGAGAGUAAGCUUGCACUUCUUGCAGUCUCCAAAGCAAAUGGUAUUUUUCUAAUUAUAUUUGCCUACCCUUUGUUCUUUUCCUCUUUGUUUCGAGUUUUGUUAGGAUUUGAUAGAAAUAGAGAGAGAAAAUGGGGGUUUGAUAAAUUGGUAUAAUUUGAUCUGGUUAGUUGGUAUAUGGCUCUAUCUUCAAUGGUUACAGAGAAAAAGCAUUUUGGUUAAGAGGUGGUGUCCCUUUAAAAAGUAUUUUCUCAUUCUGUAAAUUAAAAUAGUAUAGUAUUUUCUUUUGCCUUUUUGCACUUUUGUCCAGACAACCUUCUCAUGUAUGUGAAAAUGAUACAAAGCAGUAUUUCCCCCUCACUGUUCUUUAUUAAGCAGUAUUAAGCGUCGGUUUGGUUUGUCCAUUCCUAGUUUGAUGUAUUAAAGUGAUUAAUCUCAAGGAAGUGAUUCUAUGAUAAAUUAAAAAUGUUAGUAAAAGUUUUCAUAGCUCUUGAAGAAUAAUUUUUCAGAGGUCGUUUGGUUAAUGAUGUCGGAGUAAUUAAUCUCAGCAUAAAAUCCUAAUAUAAAAAUGAUAUUAAGAGUAAAAAUGAAAGUUUAUUCUUGUUACAUGCAUUGUCUCCUAAGAGUAUAAAUGUUAAACUAUUAUGAUAAAGUUCUCCUUUUCUUUAUAUAAAUAUGUAGAGCUCUUCCAGAAAUGGAGAUAGAAAGUUGACAAUUUUAAAAUACACAGUUUAAUUUGUUUGAUUGUCAACUUGUGUAGUUAUCUUUUAACAAGGACCAUUAAUCAACUAAAAUAUAAGAAAACAAAGUAUAUGAUUAGUACCCCAAAACACCACCCAAAACCGCCCCAAAGCACCCAUGAAACUCAACUCCAAGACACUCAUGAAACCAGCCCCUUUUCUCAUGAAACUCAACUCCAAGACACUCAUGAAACCAGCCCCCCCUCCCCCCCCCCCUUUUUUUUAAAGUAAUCAAAAUUUAGCCACUUUUUAUGUAAAGAUAAAUUUGAACGAAAACAAUGUUGUAAAGGAUUUGUUUGUUUUUCAAGGAUGGUCUAAAUUUCUCUUUGUACCCCCUCCCAAAAUCUAUGAACCUUUAGUGAGAAUGUUUUAUGCAAAUCUUCGCUCUAGCAAGCCUGAUAAGUUGGAAUCCCUAGUUUUCGGGUAAACGCAAUGUUCUUGAUUGUGCCAUGUUUGACUCAAUCUUUCAGUGUAAGUGCUCCGAUUUUCCUAUGCUUUUCAAAAAUACUUGGCCUGAUAAUUUUGAAAUUUAUUUUGAUCAAGCAAAACGUUGUAUUGCUCAUUAUCCAUCUGACUUUCUUACUAACCAAUUAGGUCCCAGUGAUGUUAGUUUUGAAACCCAAGUUCUGGACCACAUUGUUGCAACCACUCUUAUUCCUCGUACUGGAUCAUUCUCCACCUUCUCUCAACGAGAUACCUUUCUUGUCUACUGUUUUGUGACCAAACUCAAAUUUAAACUAUCUUCUUGGGUCAUAAAUUUCAUGAUUGAGAGUGUAGAUGAUCCCACCAAUUUUCAUGAUUGAGAAUACCCUUUUGUCUCAGUUACAAAAUUCUACAACUCUAGAUCUUUUUCCAGUAUGGGGUAUGUGUGUGUUAAGGGUUCUAGGGUAAAGAAACAGGAAGGUGAAGUCAAGAACGUUCAGCCUAAUUCCAAGAUCAAAGCUUUUGUUUCCCAUCAUAGAGUAAAUGAUCCUGAUCUUACGGAGAAACUGACUGCCAUUGACAACAAGUUGACCAUCAUCAAGGACCUUCUUGCUGCAACUCAAUCCACUGUUGGGGACAUCCAUGCGAUCUUCAAGGAGAUUGGGUCUGAUGUUUCAAAGAUGAGGGUUAAAAUUCUCAAACUUGGAGAGAAUGCAGUCAAAGCUUUCAAAGAAGUUCAUGACAGAAUUGAUGGGGUGAUAGUUUCAGCCAAAGCCAGCUUUAAACGUCUUCAUAAGGCUAUUUGCAACACUCUUACUUUUUCUUGCAUUGUUAGUUGUGGAAGUUUAAAAUAUUUUUUUGUUUUUUUGUUGUUUUGGACUGGAUAACCAGUCGCUGGAUACUUUUUUUUUUUCCUAACCUUUGCAUGCCUCUAAUGUUUUCUUAUGAUGUGUCUGCCUCUACUUUAUUUGCUAUGUAUGUAUAUCCGCUUUUUGCUGAUAUCAAAAAGGGGGAGAAAGAAGUUAUACAUUGCAGGACUGUAGGCAACUUCUGUUGAGGUGGAGUCGGUGUUGAGGGGGAGUCGACUGGAGUAUAUGCGUCACCUGUUGAGGGAGAGUCGACUAACUAUGCAACAAUUAUUAAUGGGGAGUUGACUACAUGGAAAUCAACUGUUAUUUAUAUAUAUUAUUUUUAUCAUCAUCAAAAAAGGGGGUAAUUGUUAAUUAUAGGUUUCAAUGAUGAAAAAUAAUAUAUCACAUUUGGUGCAGGAUCAAGAAGGAAACCAAAGGAAUCAAGAAGAAAUACUAGCCAAGAAUAGAUUAAGAAAACAAUCUAUUAACGGGAGCUCUAAGAGCAACACAAGGGAAAAAAAUCAAUGAUUACGAUGAAAAAGGAAAGAGCAGCGAAGAUCCAGAAGAAUAAUCAAUUAGUGAUUCUAUAAAAAUAUUGACAUAAGUAUUACUGGAAGGUCCCAAAUCAAAGGGAAACAUGAUCACAAAAGGAUGCAUUAAAGAUCAUUGAAGCCAGAAAUAAGGGAUCUAGCGGAAAUGCCUCAAGUAACGAAGAGAUAUGCCUAGCAGAUGAAAAGUUCGCCAAGACCAUAAAUCAAGGAAGAUCAACG